AUCGCGAAACAGAAUCAUCAAACAAAAAUAAGAAGCGAAUAAAAGUACAAAUCGAUAAAAUCCCAGAAAUUGUUAACAACGGAAUUGAACAAUUUGUUUUCACCGAAACUAGAAGAUUUUUCAAAAGAUUUGACUUAAAUGAUGAAUUCCUUAAGACAGAACCGUUGACGUGGCAUAAAAAUGAAAGUUUUGUAAAAGGUCUGGAAUUAGUAAAUAAAUUGAGAGUUGUAAAUGAUUCGGCUGAGAGAGGGGUCAAGCUUAUGGAAAAUUAUAAUAUUAAAUUAUUUACGAAAAAUGAGCAACAGAAACAGUAUGUGCUUCAGAUUGUAAGUGAUUAUCGCCGAAAGUUUCCAGGUUAUAAAAAAGAGACUUUACCUCAGCCGCUCAGCGUCAAGAUUUGUAGUAAAAAGAAGUGAUUUUCACAUUUUUCUCGGAAAUAGUUAGUCGUACGAGAAAAAGUGGUAGAUGAUAAUAUGUGCAUUUUUAAUAAAUCUACAACUUUUAUCCUGGGGACACCCUUUCCCUUUAUCCGAUUGAGCUGAAAUUUGACACAGAUUUUUUUUUCAUAAAAUGGAACCAAAUUAGAGGGUAGCGCAAAAAAAUUCCCCCAAAAAAUUUACCAAGAGUAAAUAAGAGCCACCCUAAUCUGGACGUUUGAAAGUAUCGCACAUCUAAUUCAAUUAGUAAAAAAUAAUGAAAUUAUAUGGAAUUACUGCAUUCCUAUGAAAGAAAGGUCAAAAUUUAAAAUAAGUAUUGCAUGGAACUUUAUCGUGGAAGACUUGAAAGAUACAUUUCCCGAUAUCUCUUCUUUCUUUAAUCCAAUUGUGGUUCAAUCAAAAUGGAAAAGUUUGGUCGAUUAUUUUUUGGAGAAAAGUAGCUUCACGUCCAAAAACAACUGGAUCUGCUGCCGCUGCUCCCGAAUCGUGGCCAUAUUUCGAAAAUAUGACAUUUCUUCAAGAAAUACAAACUAAACAAAAGUAGUAAUUCAAAUCUAUAAAAAAUAAUUUUUAUAUAUCUUAUAGAUUAUUAUCUAUUUCAGGACUAUUGAUAAUUUCCCUGAGGAAGAGGAAAA